GCCCUAGUGGCCUCAUGGAUAAAGUACUGGCCUUCUAAGUCACGGAUCAUGGGUUCGAGUCCCACCUCGGGUA
rnacentral:tRNA from 1 species